GACGAACGCUGGCGGCGUGCUUAACACAUGCAAGUCGAACGCUGAAGCUCAGCUUUUGUUGGGUGGAUGAGUGGCGAACGGGUGAGUAACACGUGAGUAACCUGCCCCCUUCUUUGGGAUAACGCCCGGAAACGGGUGCUAAUACUGGAUAUUCACUGGUCUUCGCAUGGGGGUUGGUGGAAAGGGUUUUUCUGGUGGGGGAUGGGCUCGCGGCCCAUCAGCUUGUUGGUGGGGUGAUGGCCUACCAAGGCUUUGACGGGUAGCCGGCCUGAGAGGGUGACCGGUCACAUUGGGAGUGAGAUACGGCCCAGACUCCUACGGGAGGCAGCAGUGGGGAAUAUUGCACGAUGGGCGCAAGCCUGAUGCAGCGACGCAGCGUGAGGGAUGGAGGCCUUCGGGUUGUGAACCUCUUUCGCUCAUGGUCAAGCCGCAACAAUGGUUGUGGUGAGGGUAGUGGGUAAAGAAGCGCCGGCUAACUACGUG
rnacentral:rRNA from 1 species